GCCAGUAUGGUGUAAGUGGUUUGAACACUAGACCACAACUCUGAAGAACAGGGUUAGACUCCCUGUUUGGCCA